rnacentral:lncRNA from 1 species
UUUUAACUAUAGAAUAAAUUCUAUCUAGUUUUGUAAAUUCUGAUAAAAUAUUCCACUUUUUCAUACAAAAAAAAAAAAAAAAUUCCACUCUGCCUAAUAUUUCGUCCCGCAUUAUGGUUCCAUAUAUACUUCCAUCAGUACCAAACUUAUCAUGUCCGUUUGAUAUACUUGAAAAAAUCAGUACAAUGGAAAGAAACGUAAAUCCUCCUAUCUUCCUGAUAUUUCAAUCAUUGGCUGCCUUGAAUUUAAUUAGCUGGUAUGUUUGUUACAUAGUUUAAUUAAGGGUUUUCCGAUUUUUAACCAAUUAGUAUUCCGAUGUUCGGCUUUAUAUAAAGUGAGUCUUUCUUUUUCUUGGACAGAACGUGAUUUUUU